rnacentral:rRNA from 1 species
UACGUAGGUGGCAAGCGUUGUUCGGAAUUACUGGGCGUAAAGCGCGCGUAGGCGGCUCUUCAAGUCAGGCGUGAAAGCCCCGGGCUUAACUCGGGAACUGCGCUUGAUACUGUCGAGCUAGAGUGUGGAAGGGGCGAUUGGAAUUCCGCGUGUAGCGGUGAAAUGCGUAGAUAUACGGAGGAACACCAGAGGCGAAGGCGGAUCGCUGGGCCAACACUGACGCUGAUGUGCGAAAGCUAGGGGAGCAAACGGG